rnacentral:rRNA from 1 species
UACGAGGUGGUACAGUGUUCGUGAAUUAUUGGGCGUAAAGGGCGCGUAGGCGGUGCUGUAAGUCUGUAGUGAAAUCUCUGGGCUCAACUCAGAGUCUGCUAUAGAAACUGCAGUGCUGGAGUGUGGGAGAGGUGAGUGGAAUUCCUGGUGUAGCGGUGAAAUGCGUAGAUAUCAGGAGGAACACCUGUGGCGAAAGCGGCGCACUGGACCACAACUGACGCUGAGGCGCGAAAGCUAGGGGAGCAAACAGG